AUAACAGGCUUAUCUCCCCCAAGAGUCCAUAUCGACGGGGAGGUUUGGCACCUCGAUGUCGGCUCAUCGCAUCCUGGGGCUGGAGCAGGUCCCAAGGGUUUGGCUGUUCGCCAAUUAAAGCGGUACGUGAGCUGGGUUUAAAACGUCGUGAGACAGUUUGGUCCUUAUCUGCUGCGGGCGUAGGAUAUUUGAGGAGAUCUGUUCCUAGUACGAGAGGACCGGAAUGGACGAACCACUGGUGUACCAGUUGUCCCGCCAGGGGCAUUGCUGGGUAGCUAAGUUCGGAAGGGAUAACCGCUGAAAGCAUCUAAGCGGGAAGCCCACUUCAAGAUAAGAUAUCCCGUGGGAUAACCCACCUGAAGGCUCGUUGGAGACUACAACGUUGAUAGGUCGGGAGUGGAAGUGUGGCAACACAUGGAGCUGACCGAUACUAAUAAGCCGUGCGGCUUGAUCAU
rnacentral:rRNA from 1 species